rnacentral:rRNA from 1 species
CACGGGGGGAGCAAGCGUUGUUCGGAAUCACUGGGCGUAAAGGGCGUGUAGGCGGUCAUGUAAGUGGAAUGUGAAAUCCCUCGGCUUACCCGAGGACCUGCAUCCCAAACUGCAUGACUUGAGUACGGGAGAGGAUGAGGGAAUUCCUGGUGUAGCGGUGAAAUGCGCAGAUAUCAGGAGGAACACCGGUGGCGAAGGCGGCAUCCUGGACCAACACUGACGCUGAGGAGCGAAAGCCAGGGGAGCAAACGGG